CGCGCAGGCGGUCGGAUAAGUCGAAUGUGAAAGCCCCCGGCUCAACUGGGGAGGGUCAUUCGAUACUGUUCGACUCGAAGGCAGGAGAGGGAAGCGGAAUUCCCGGUGUAGUGGUGAAAUGCGUAGAUAUCGGGAGGAACACCAGUGGCGAAGGCGGCUUUCUGGCCUGUUCUUGACGCUGAGGCGCGAAAGCUAGGGGAGCAAACG
rnacentral:rRNA from 1 species